rnacentral:rRNA from 1 species
GAUGAACGCUGGCGGCAUGCUUUACACAUGCAAGUCGAACGGUAACAGGCCGCAAGGUGCUGACGAGUGGCGAACGGGUGAGUAAUGCAUCGGAACGUGCCCAGUCGUGGGGGAUAACGCAGCGAAAGCUGCGCUAAUACCGCAUACGAUCUGUGGAUGAAAGCGGGGGACCGUAAGGCCUCGCGCGAUUGGAGCGGCCGAUGUCAGAUUAGGUAGUUGGUGAGGUAAAGGCUCACCAAGCCGACGAUCUGUAGCUGGUCUGAGAGGACGACCAGCCACACUGGGACUGGGAAACGGUCCAGACUCCUACGGGAGGCAGCAGUGGGGAAUAUUGGACAAUGGCGCAAGCCUGAUCCAGCCAUGCCGCGUGUGUGAAGAAGGCCUUCGGGUUGUAAAGCACUUUCAGUAGGGAGGAAGGGUGUUGUGUUAAUAGCACAGCAUUUUGACGUUACCUACAGAAGAAGCACCGGCUAACUCUGUGCCAGCCGCCGCUGUAAAAC